rnacentral:rRNA from 1 species
AGGGUUCGAUUCUGGCUCAGGAUGAACGCUAGCGGCAGGCUUAACACAUGCAAGUCGAGGGGCAGCGGGAUGUAGCAAUACAUUGCCGGCGACCGGCGGGAUGGGUGCGUAACGCGUAUGCAACCUACCUUAUACAGGGGAAUAACCUUUCGAAAGGGAGACUAACACCCCAUAGUAUUGAUUUAAGGCAUCUUAGAUUAAUUAAAUAUUUAUAGGUAUAAGAUGGGCAUGCGUAUGAUUAGCUAGUUGGUAAGGUAACGGCUUACCAAGGCGACGAUCAUUAGGGGUUCUGAGAGGAAGGUCCCCCACACUGGUACUGAGACACGGACCAGACUCCUACGGGAGGCAGCAGUGAGGAAUAUUGGUCAAUGGGCGCAAGCCUGAACCAGCCAUGCCGCGUGCAAGGAAGACGGCCUUAUGGGUUGUAAACUGCUUUUACAUAAGACUAACCGUAUAUUUGCGAAUAUACCUGAAUGUAUUAUGAGAAUAAGGAUCGGCUAACUCCGUGCCAGCAGCAGC